CCACGCCGUAAACGAUGAGUGCUAGGUGUCGGGGGUCAAACCUCGGUGCCGACGUUAACACAUUAAGCACUCCGCCUGGGGAGUACGUGCGCAAGCAUGAAACUCAAAGGAAUUGACGGGGACCCGCACAAGCAGCGGAGCAUGUGGUUUAAUUCGAUGCAACGCGAAGAACCUUACCAGGGCUUGACAUAUAUAUGAAGAUCUUAGAGAUAAGAUUGUUUCUUCGGAACAUAUAUACAGGUGGUGCAUGGUUGU
rnacentral:rRNA from 1 species